ensembl:miRNA gga-mir-1758 gga-mir-1758
GGCUCCGUCUCCCCUUUGUGGGCUUUGAUGAAGGAAAGCUCCUCACCAAGCACUUGUCGGGCUAUGUAGUC